AGCCGCAGCGCGCCCGCGUGCCCGCCCGCUGCCGCUGCGCGCCCGCGCUCAACGCGCUUUUGAUCCUCUCCGUUUCCCCUUCUCCAUCUUCGCCUCUACCAUCGUCGUCGUCGUCGUCGUCGACGAUGUCUGUGGUGGGUGGGUUGGAGUGCGUGGUGUGCGUGGCUGUGACGGAUGCGUGCCGUGGUAGGAGGAGAGGUCGAGGGAGAGGCCGAGGCGGGGGGAGGCAGGCUCGUCGCCGGUCGGAGCAGAGGUCAAGGGAGAGGCACGGUAGGAGGAGAGGCACGGUAGGAGGAGAGGUCGAGGGAGAGGCCGAGGCGGGGGAGGCAGGCUCGUCGCCGGCGACGUCGUCGAAGCGAGCGAGAGCGACGUCGCCGGGGCGAGGGGUGUGGCGUUUCUGCCUUCGCCGCUCUCCUGGAAAAGAAAAAAAAAAAGAACGAGAGAAAAAAAAAAGGAAAGAGAAAAAAGUACAAAGAUAUUUUGGUCAAGUUGCUGAAAAAGUGGACCGAAUCUGCAAAAACGGAAAAUGUGGCCCGAUUUUGCAAAAGCCCAAAACUAGUGGAUUUU
rnacentral:lncRNA from 1 species